AAGCUCGUAGUUGAAUUUCGGGAUUAGUACGUCGGUCGUGCCUUAGGUACAUACUGGUGUUACUGGUUCCUACCUUCUGACGAACCAUCAUGUCAUUAAUUUGGUGUGGUGGGGAAUCAGGACUGUUACUUUGAAAAAAUUGAGUGUUUAAAGCAGGCUCGCGCUUGAAUACAUUAGCAUGGAAUAAUGAAAUAGGACGUUGAUCCUAUUUUGUUGGUUUCUAGGAUUGACGUAAUGAUUAAUAGGGAUAGUUGGG
rnacentral:rRNA from 1 species